UUUUUUGAUGACUAUGAUGAUGAUGUUUACAUAUUUUACAAUUUGACAGUGACAGUUGUUAUGCAAUUUGAUGAUCAAAUCAAAAUGUUUUUGCUAUCAGCAGGAGGCCGCUUUGUGAACCGGAUAAAACAAUCGUUCAGUGCGAAAUAAAGUUUAUGAAUAAAUAACGUUACAAUGUCGUACUCAAAAGCAACAUUGCUCCGAUACCCGCUUGUGUUUGGUACAAUCUUGGCAGGAUUCAUAUAUGCAUUUACGAACAGAGAUAAAUUUAUGUCCGAUUUGGAUGCUGAGCGCGAGAGAUUGGACCGCACAGACCAGGAAGCCAAGAAGCUACUACUAGACUCAAUGGAUUCUGUCAAUAAAACUCGCGCUAAGCAGUAAAGCGCAGUAAAACCCGAA